GCGGCGGGGCGGCAGCGGGCCCGGGGCUGGGCCGGGCUGGGCUCGGGCGGAGCCCGACCAGACCACCGUGGCCGCUGCAGUUCUUCCCCGCGGGAGCCCGCGGAGGCGAGGGCCAGGGCCAGGGCCCCGUGGGAGGAUCGGCGCUGCGCAGCUCGUGGCCGGCGACGUGCGAUCGCGUCUCCUGCGGGGGCGCCCCGGACCUGGCCGGAGACGAGCGGUAAAGCUGCACAUCCGGGCGCGAGUGUCCCGCGCUCACAGACCUCUCCUAAGAGAAGGUGUCCAGCGACCAGGACAGCAUCCGAUUUUCCGUAGCGCCAGCCCUCCCUUGGUAUCUCGUCGGCUUCCUUUAGUUGCAUGACUAUGACAACUCCAUCAAAACCGGACCGGAUAGCAGGAAUGCCGGACCGCAGAGAGCUCUGCAGAAAGGCUCUCUGGCUCCGAAGCCUACAGCGGCUUGGGGCCUGCCUUCCAAAGGGAAUUGUAGACCACACCCUGGAAAGUUCUGGAUUUUAAAAUCAGUUUUAAUACCUGUCAAGCGUGUGUUAAUUUUUAAGUCACGGGAUGCACAGGACCCUGUAUAAGGCCGAGGUCUCCCCGGUUUGCGUGCCCUGCAGAACCAAGGCUGUGUCCAGUAACCUGUGUUGCCAGGGCUUUAGCCUGUUGCUCGGAUGUGUCCUUCCGCUGCCGCUGACUCCAUUCCUUCAAAGACUGGGUUUGGCUGGUGUCCGAUGGAUGCUAUGAGGUCCCUAACACUACGAACCUCACCUGUCUGCAUUGCUGGUGCAGAACAAACAGCCCUCCUGUGAGGCAGGCGUGGCCCAUGUGGGUUCACAGCCAGCCUCUGAGCCAUGGGACAUUUCUCCAGCUCUGCCCCCCAAACUGUUCCGAACACGUAUCUGGAGAUCCACGUUGCCUGGCCUGGGGUUGCCCCUUCCACAACCAGCCAGGGCCGAGGUGCUGUCUGUGUCCCACGCCCACCUUACCAAGUGACCCCGACUUGGUGGCUUCAAACAGAAGUUUAUUCUGCCAUGGUUCUGGAGGCCGGAAGUUGGAUCCACAGCACCGGGCUGAGGUGAAGAGGCCGGCAGGGCGGGCCGCCCGGAGGCCACGGGGAGAAUCCCUUCGGCCACCUCCAGUCCUUCCUGGGUGGUGACUUUGUCCUCCAGCCCCUGCCUCCUGGGCACAUAGCUCCCAGUAAUUGCUACUGGGAGGGACUCUGUCCAGGAGCUUUUAUACCACACAACAGGCAGGCUCAGACCGCCCAAGUCAGGCUGAGGUAGGCCCACAGGACUAAACCAGCUUGCUUACGCUGGAAAUGGGCCCGAGGAGUCAAGGCCGGGGCAGGCCCGUCUGCAGGGGCCUCUUGGCCGCUGUCUGUCCAGGUGGUUCGUUAAAGGAACAAAAUGAGAAGGAGAAGGCGUUUUCCACACCUGCAGGGGCAGAGCUGUCACAGCGGCCACCGUCUCCUUGCUGUCCCCGGACCUCACUGUCCACCUGGCUCUUGCUAACUCUGACCUUGGGCUCCUGCUUGGCUGAUGAGGCCUGGCCACCCGGACUCCCCCGCGGGCCCAGGGCCUCUCCAGCUGCCCACUGUCCUUGGCUCCACUCGCCUGUCUAUCACAGAGACACACGUGAUACAUGCCAUGAGACCAAAUGCUCGGGCCUGUGAGGAGAGGCAGGGAGUUCUCUCCCAGGGGCGCAGACAUGGAGCAAGCUGAGGCCACCAGGACGACGCCAGGGCCUGGUCCUAGCAGCACCAGUAACGCUUGUCUGUGCAGUGGCCACAAACCAUGGGGUCCAGCGCCGUCCCUGACAAAGGCAGUGCCGAUUCCAGGUGGGCAGAGGGACCUCACAGUUGCCUCUGUGUGCGUGAGGCUGAGACCACAGACCCUGGGAGGUGGUGAGGACUGCAAAGCACAUUCACGCCGCAGCCUGUUCCAGCCAGGCUUUGUGUCUGUCACAGCAUUCAGGACCGAAGAGAGCACUUGGCCAGCCUGGAGCCAAGCUCCAUGAGGCGCCCACCCUAAAUGAAUGGCUGGGCGGAAUGCUGACCGACUGGGGGUCUUUCUGUUUGGUUUCCGGUCUUUGUUUUUAAAUCUUGGAGACUUUACCCCUUCCCUAUCGAUGAGAGUGAGCGUGUUGCUUUUGGUGCAGGAUAUUGUCAUCUGCUUGAGAAGAGAAAUAGGAAGCCGGGCGUGGUGGUGCACACCUGUAAUCCCAGCAUUGGGGAGGCUGAUUACUAGGAGUCUGAGGCCAGCCUGAACUACAUAGUGAGAUGUUGUCUCAAAGAACAAAACAAAACAAAAAGAGGGCAAGAGAAGAGAGAGAGAAAUAUGAAUGGACACUUAACGUUUGAUUUCUGAAGUGCUUAUUGCACGUAAUUAUCUCCAGAACUUGCUUUUGAGGUCUGGCGUGCUGAGGCUGUGAAUCUGACACCCUCAAAUGUGUGUGAGAACAGGGGACUUAGGACUGCAUUGGCCGACACACUGCGGAACCCAUGCUGGACCUUGCUUGCCAGGUGCCACAAAGGCUUGAAUCUGUUUUCUCCGGAGCACAGCCUCCCCUCCCCGCUUUCCAGCGUGACUCGGCUGAUUCCAGACACUGUCUGGCCCCUGACGCCUCUGAAAUUGCUCCCUUUAAACAUGGGAGCCCUGGCGCAUUCCUCCUCCUUCCAGGCGGGCUAACAACUGAUGAUGUCCAGUGCGUCCGGGAGCGGGAGCGAGCCACGGUACCACCCUCUGGGGUUUCACAGUCUGUGUACUGGGUCCAUUUGAUGCACUGUUGUUGGCUCUAAGAGCUAUAAAAUUUUAAACAACACUUGGAAAUAUAACCAAGAAUUUUGUCUGAGAAAAAUCAACUACAGUUUUAGCCAGGCAUGGUGGCUCACGUCUUUGAUCUCAGCACUCAGGAGGCUGAGGCAGGAGGAUCCCAGCCUGAACGACAUAAUGAGGCUUUGUCUCGAAAAUAAUAAACAAAUAAACAAUUGA